rnacentral:rRNA from 1 species
AACGAACGCUGGCGGCAGGCUUAACACAUGCAAGUCGAACGCACCGUUCGGGGUGAGUGGCAGACGGGUGGGUAAGGCGGGGGAAUCUACACGUCUCUACGGGAUAGCUCCGGGAAAGUGGAAUUAAUACCGCAUAGGUCCUGAGGGAGAAAGAUUUAUCGGGGUAGGCUGGGCCCGGGUUGGAUUAGCUGGUUGGGGGGGUAAAGGCGUACCAAGGCGACGAUCCAUAGCUGGUCUGAGAGGAUGCCCCGCCACGUUUGGGCUGAGACACGGCCCAAUCCGCGACGGGACGGAGCGGUGGAGUGUAUUAGGCGCUGAGCGCAAGCCCAGUCCAGCCGUGCCGCGUAAGUGAUGAUUGCCGUAGGGUUCUGAAGCCCUUUCUGUCGGGGCGUGAAUGACGGUACCCGCAGAAGAAGCCCCGGCUAACUUCGUG